CGCAGCCGCGGUAAUUCCAGCUCCAAUAGCGUAUAUUAAAGUUGUUGCAGUUAAAAAGCUCGUAGUUGAAUUUCGGGGUUCUACCGUUGGUCGGGCUACCAAGUCUGUACUGGUGUGUAGAAUUCCUACCUUCUGGGGAACCAUCAUGUUAUUAAUUUAGCGUGGUGGGAAACCAGGACCUUUACCUUGAAAAAAUUAGAGUGUUCGAAGCAGGCUUAUGUCUGAAUACAUUAGCAUGGAAUAAUAGAAUAGGACGGUGGUCCUGUUUUGUUGGUUUCUGAAUCACCGUAAUGAUUAAUAGGGAUAGUUGGGGGCAUUAGUAUUCAAUUGUCAGAGGUGAAAUUCUUGGAUUUAUUGAAGACUAACUUCUGCGAAAGCAUUUGCCAAGGAUGUUUUCAUUAAUCAAGAACGAAAGUUAGGGGAUCGAAGACGAUCAGAUACCGUCGUAGUCUUAACCAUAAACUAUGCCGACUAGGGAUCGGACGAUGUUAAAUUUUAUUGACUCGUUCGGCGCCUUACG
rnacentral:rRNA from 1 species